AGCAUCUGCCAAGGAUGUUUUCAUUAAUCAAGAACGAAAGUUAGGGGAUCGAAGACGAUCAGAUACCGUCGUAGUCUUAACCAUAAACGAUGCCGACCAGCGAUUAGGAGACGUUGAAUACAAAACACCACCAUCGGCGCGGUCGUCCUUGGCGUCUCGGUCCUUCACGGGGCCGGGGCGCGGGGGCGGCUUAGCCCGGUGGCACCGGUGAAUGACUCCCCUAGGAGCUUGUGAGA
rnacentral:rRNA from 1 species